GAAGGACGCGUUACCUUCCCCUAAAUCCACCGUCUCUGUAGUUGCGAUUUAAUGAUCCCCUCACAUCCGUGCGUCGCCACCAACAGCGAAAUAGGAGCGGGCGAGGAAGACGAGAUCGAGAGACGGAGCUUCACUCGUGCCACCCAGUUGUCCCGCUCGUCGAAAACCCCUACCUUUGCUCCUCAGGCGAUCGAUCCCGUCGUCGGGCCCUGCCCCCAGAUAAGAGUUUUUGGUCCUUCCGCAGCUACUCAAGUGCUCGGCCUAUUGUCAGAGCUGGAAUGGAGGGCAUAAAUGAGCAUGCUUCUGAUGAUUCUUGGUGUGAUGAUGGGCUUCUGAAUGAAAUCCCAGAUGCUGACUUAAACAGAGAACAGAAGAGGCGUUAUGAUCAAUUUUAUACAGUAUCCUUGCAAUCUAUAAAUGAUAUGAAAUCCUUUGUCCAAAACUCUUCAUAGUAAAACUUUUAGGGCUUUAAACUUGAGGAUGUAUCAUAUGGAACCCUUGACAAAAGUUUAUAUGGGUUAUCGAGAUGGUAUAUCUGCAGGAAAGGAAGCUUCUGCCCAAGAGGGCUUCAACAUUGGAUUUAAGCAAUCUGCAAGCAGUGGUUACAAAUGGGGAAUUGUUAGAGGCAUCACAAGUGCAUUUGUAAACCUCCCAGAUCAAUUCAAAGAAAAGUUAGUAAAGAAGCUUGAAGACAGAGGCACGUUUCAAAGUCUUUACAAGCCUGUUCAAGAGAUUUCCACGGACGAUGCUCUGCGAAUGUGUCACUUUCAACU